UAGGGAAUAUUGGACAAUGGGGGCAACCCUGAUCCAGCCAUGCCGCGUGAGUGAAGAAGGCCCUCGGGUUGUAAAGCUCUUUUGUCGGGAAAGAAAAGCUUCGGGUUAAUACCCCGGGGUUCUGACGGUACCGGAAGAAUAAGCACCGGCUAACUUCGUGCCAGCAGCCGCGGUAAUACGAAGGGUGCAAGCGUUACUCGGAAUUACUGGGCGUAAAGCGUGCGUAGGUGGUUGUUUAAGUCUGAUGUGAAAGCCCUGGGCUCAACCUGGGAAUGGCAUUGGAAACUGGGCAGCUAGAGUGCGGUAGAGGGUAGUGGAAUUCCCGGUGUAGCAGUGAAAUGCGUAGAGAUCGGGAGGAACAUCUGUGGCGAAGGCGACUGCCUGGACCAGCACUGACACUGAGGCACGAAAGCGUGGGGAGCAAAC
rnacentral:rRNA from 1 species